GUCCGCAGGCCGAUGCUCUAUCCACUGAGCCAAACCGGUCAGGGCAAAAUACACAAAGAAGAAUCCUGUACUGGGACAAAGCCUGAGCAGCUCUGUGACUGUUUGUAACAAGUGGUGGACUUAAAUAAAAAGGCUCAAGAGACAAAAGCAGAACCUGGAUCUCUUCUACAAGAAUACAUCACCAGCAUGAACAACUGCUGCCCAGAGGAAAUAGCGAUCACAUUUGGCUUCCGACAGGACAGUCUGAGAGAGACCAGGGUCUGGUACUCCAACA